GACGAACGCUGGCGGCGUGCCUAACACAUGCAAGUCGAACGAUGACGUCGGGACUAGUGGCGCACGGGUGCGUAACGCGAGGGAAGAUGCACGUGGGGUCGGCAUAACUCGCAGAAGGGGGUGAUAAUAGGGGACAAUAGCUAAGGACGAAAGAUUUAUCGCCUUAGGAUGGGCCCGCGUUGGAUUCGCUAGUUGGUAGGGUAAAAGCCUACCAAGGCGACGAUACAUAGCUGGUCUGAGAGGAUGAUCCGCCACACUGGGACUGAGACACGGCCCAGACUCCUACGGGAAGCAGCAGUGGGGAAUAUUGGACAAUGGGCGAAAGCCUGAUCCAGCAAUGCCGCGUGAGUGAUGAAGGCCUUAGGGUUGUAAAGCUCUUUUACCCGGGAUGAUAAUGACAGUACCGGGAGAAUAAGCUCCGGCUAACUCCGUG
rnacentral:rRNA from 1 species